AAUUUAUUGCAAUCAUUAUUUAUUAUAACUUUAUUCAUUAAACCUUGUGAAACAUAAUAAUUUAGCAAUUAUAUACAGAGUGAUAUACGAUACAGCCAGUCUGUUAAUCAAGCUCAUUCUGAUAAGGUUGACCAUAUGUUAGACAAAUUUCAAAGAUAGUUGCUAUGGUAAUUAAGAUUAUAGGAAAUCUGAAUGUAAUGGGAUGGUCACUUUUGUGGUUAUUUCCUGUUGUGUAUUUGUAAGAAAACAGUGAAACGAAGAAAACAAAAAGAGAAAAUCAUAUCAUCUGAGGUUCAAAGAAAAAGAAAGUAACAUGUCAGGUAUUUGAGUACUACAGAAGACAAAAUAAAUCAGAGUGCAAAAGUAAUAAUACAGAGCUAGGAAUAAUAGAAAUUAUUGCCAACAUCCUGGCUAGAAAAUGCAUGGGAAUGGAGAUGGGAAAAAAUGCAUUCAACCAUUUGAUAGCCCAGAACGAAUAACUUUAAGAAAAGGUACAUGUAGUGAAAUAACUUUUAUGAAGAUAUGCUAAACUGGAUAUUAAAAGGAUUUAACAUAAGACG